GACGAACCGUGCGAACGUUGUUCGGAAUCACUGGGCUUAAAGGGCGCGUAGGCGGGCUGCCAAGUCCGGGGUGAAAGCUUUCGGCUUAACCGGAAAAGUGCCUUGGAUACUGGCGGUCUCGAGGGAGGUAGGGGCAUGUGGAACUUCCGGUGGAGCGGUGAAAUGCGUUGAUAUCGGAAGGAACGCCGGUGGCGAAAGCGACGUGCUGGACCUCUUCUGACGCUGAGGCGCGAAAGCCAGGGGAGCGAAC
rnacentral:rRNA from 1 species